rnacentral:rRNA from 1 species
UACGUAGGGGGCGAGCGUUGUCCGGAAUCAUUGGGCGUAAAGCGCGUGUAGGCGGCCCGGUAAGUCCGCUGUGAAAGUCCAGGGCUCAACCCUGGGAUGCCGGUAGAUACUGUCGGGCUCGAGUCCGGAAGAGGCGAGUGGAAUUCCUGGUGUAGCGGUGAAAUGCGCAGAUAUCAGGAGGAACACCAAUGGCGAAGGCAGCUCGCUGGGACGUGACUGACGCUGAGACGCGAAAGCGUGGGGAGCAAACAGG